rnacentral:ncRNA from 1 species
AUAUUGCAUGAAAGUAGAAAACAUUAGUGCUCUGCUUGAUAAGAAUGGAAGGGGUAAUAAAUGGCUACGGUAUUGACACCUUUCUCUAUGUCAUCUAGAAAUUUUUUU